CAGCAGCCACGGUAAUACGUAGGGUGCAAGCGUUAAUCGGAAUUACUGGGCGUAAAGCGUGCGCAGGCGGUCCGCUAAGACAGAUGUGAAAUCCCCGGGCUUAACCUGGGAACUGCAUUUGUGACUGGCGAGCUAGAGUAUGGCAGAGGGGGGUAGAAUUCCACGUGUAGCAGUGAAAUGCGUAGAGAUGUGGAGGAACACCUGUGGCGAAAGCGGCUCACUGGACAAUAACUGACGCUGAUGCACGAAAGCUAGGGGAGCAAACAGGAUUAGAUACCCCAGUAGUCCCUGUCUCUUAUAC
rnacentral:rRNA from 1 species